rnacentral:tRNA from 1 species
AGUACAGUAAGUUAAUUUAAACUAUUGGGCCCAUACCCCUAAAAAGUAGGUUAGAUCCCUGCCUCUACUG